UACGUAGGGGGCUAGCGUUGCUCGGAAUCACUGGGCGUAAAGCGCACGUAGGCGGAUUGCUAAGUCAGGGGUGAAAUCCUGGAGCUCAACUCCAGAACUGCCUUUGAUACUGGUGAUCUUGAGUCCGGGAGAGGUGAGUGGAACUGCGAGUGUAGAGGUGAAAUUCGUAGAUAUUCGCAGGAACACCAGUGGCGAAGGCGGCUCACUGGCCCGGUACUGACGCUGAGGUGCGAAAGCGUGGGGAGCGAACAGG
rnacentral:rRNA from 1 species